rnacentral:rRNA from 1 species
CAGCUAGUUGGUAGGGUAAAAGCCUACCAAGGCAUCGAUCAGUAGCUGGUCUGAGAGGACGACCAGCCACACUGGAACUGAGACACGGUCCAGACUCCUACGGGAGGCAGCAGUGGGGAAUUUUGGACAAUGGGCGCAAGCCUGAUCCAGCAAUGCCGCGUGAGUGAAGAAGGCCUUCGGGUUGUAAAGCUCUUUUGUCAGGGAAGAAACGGGUCCUUCUAAUACAGGGGCCUAAUGACGGUACCUGAAGAAUAAGCACCGGCUAACUACGUGCCAGCAGCCGCGGUAAUACGUAGGGUGCAAGCGUUAAUCGGAAUUACUGGGCGUAAAGCGUGCGCAGGCGGUUUUGUAAGUCUGUUGUGAAAUCCCCGGGCUCAACCUGGGAAUGGCAAUGGAGACUGCAAGGCUAGAGUUUGGCAGAGGGGGGUAGAAUUCCACGUGUAGCAGUGAAAUGCGUAGAUAUGUGGAGGAACACCGAUGGCGAAGGCAGCCCCCUGGGUCAAAACUGACGCUCAUGCACGAAAGCGUGGGGAGCAAACAGGAUUAGAUACCCUGGUAGUCCACGCCCC